GGCCUACGGGAGGCAGCAGUGGGGAAUAUUGCACAAUGGGGGAAACCCUGAUGCAGCAACGCCGCGUGAGCGAAGAAGGCCUUCGGGUCGUAAAGCUCUGUCCUAUGGGAAGAAGCAGUGACGGUACCAUAGGAGGAAGCACCGGCUAACUCCGUGCCAGCAGCCGCGGUAAUA
rnacentral:rRNA from 1 species